AGGACGAACGCUGGCGGCGUGCUUAACACAUGCAAGUCACGGGGGCCCGCAAGGGUAACCGGCGAACGGGUGCGUAACACGUGAGCAACCUGCCGAUCUGAGGGGGAUAGCCGGCCCAACGGCCGGGUAAUACCGCAUACGCUUUUUUCGCUCAUGACGAGGGAAGGAACCUCCGGGGCAGAUCGAGGGGCUCGCGGCCUAUCAGCUAGUUGGCGGUGUAAUGGACCACCAAGGCGACGACGGGUAGC
rnacentral:rRNA from 1 species